rnacentral:rRNA from 1 species
GCCCAUCGCAGAACUGCUGGCCAUCCCGGUCAUGCGGAAUGUUGCGUUUGGAAGGAUCUCUUGCCGAGGCUCGAACAACCAGUCAAAGUCCAACUUGACAGUGGCCACUGCCCAUAGAGGGUGCUAGGCCCGUAAGGCGGUUGUUUGGCUUCGCUGAUCUCUUCCCAGAGUCGGAUUGCUUGAGAGUGCAGUCCAAAGUGCGAGGUAAACUCCUCGUAAGGCUAAAUAUGAUCCCUAGACCGAUAGCAAACAAGUACAGUGAUGGAAAUUUGAAAAGAACUUUGAAGAGAGAGUUAACAGUACGUGAAACUGUGCGGCAGUAAACACAGCCUUCCUCGAAGUUGUCCGGGGAGACCCAGCCUUAGGGCGUGUCGGCUCUUGGCACCUGAUCAGCAAUGACGGGUGUCGGGGUCGUUCGGCGCGCCCGCGGGUGCAUCUAUCCCCGGAUUUACGGCAGGAACUGUUGGGACUGGACCAAGGGCCUGGGAAGAAGUUUUCGCUCCGGCGUCAGCUCCCGGUGUCCCGGCUCCGGACCCGACAGGCCUUGUGGCCGACUUGUACAGCAAGCAACGCUUCUGUUGCGGUCGGCCCUUCCCUGUCGAGUAGGUCGGCGGAGGCUGUGACCCGUCUUGAAACACGGACCAAGGAGUCUAACAUGUAUCCAAGUCAUUGGGUCGACUAAACCCAAAGGCGCAGUGAAAGCAAAGGCUCGCUUGUCGGGCCGAGGGAUGAGCCUUAACCGGUGCAAUCCCGCCACUUCCAAUCAUCCUCGUAUGUUGGGAGUAGGUAGAGGAUAGAUGUUGGGACCCNAAAGAUGGUGAACUAUGCCUGUUCAGGUUGAAGUCAGGAGAA